rnacentral:rRNA from 1 species
CUAGCCGUCCGCGUCGUCGGACAAGGAGUCACCUCCUUCUUGACACCUUUGACCUCAAAUCAGGUAGGAUUACCCGCCGAACUUAAGCAUAUCAAUAAGCGG